GGGGCUGAUUCUGGAUUCGACGGGAUUUGCGAAACCCAAGGUGCAUGCCGAGGGGCGGUUGGCCUCGUAAAAAGCCGCAAAAAAAUAGUCGCAAACGACGAAACCUACGCUUUAGCAGCUUAAUAACCUGCUUGGAGCCCUCUCUCCCUAGCCUCCGCUCUUAGGACGGGGAUCAAGAGAGGUCAAACCCAAAAGAGAUCGCGCGGAUGCCCUGCCUGGGGUUGAAGCGUUAAAACGAAUCAGGCUAGUCUGGUAGUGGCGUGUCCGUCCGCAGGUGCCAGGCGAAUGUAAAGACUGACUAAGCAUGUAGUACCGAGGAUGUAGGAAUUUCGGACGCGGGUUCAACUCCCGCCAGCUCCACCA
rnacentral:tmRNA from 1 species